rnacentral:rRNA from 1 species
UACAGAGGGUGCAAGCGUUGUUCGGAAUUACUGGGCGUAAAGCGUGCGUAGUCGGUAUUGAGAGUCGCGGGUGAAAUCCCAGGGCUUAACCCUGGAACUGCCUGCGAGACCUCAGUACUAGAGUGUGAGAGGGGAUAGUGGAAUACCCAGUGUAGCGGUGAAAUGCGUAGAGAUUGGGUGGAACACCGGUGGCGAAGGCGGCUAUCUGGCUCACAACUGACGAUCAGGCACGAAAGCGUGGGGAGCAAACAGGAUUAGAAACCCCAGUAGUCC